AUUAAAUCAAUUGGAGUUUCAGAUGAUGAGGUGAUUCUAGUGGGGCCCUGGAUUAACUGUACGAGGUCAAAAUGACUUACUGGCUGUAUCCGAAACCGCCUACUUCUCUACUAUAUAGUUGGCGAAAAGCAGUAGGCGAGCGAAGAAGUAUGUGAAACCUCAGUAUUCAUAAAAGAGUAGGCGAGAAGUUCCUGGAUGUCCUACUGCUUUAGCCCAGAUUCUUGAGCGCUCAUCGAUGGACACUUUUCAAUCCCAGAAGCCCACGGGAGAUCAAUACGUCAUCAUCGAACGUGAUGGAGAACAGCGGGUGUUUACAAAUGUGAGUAUUACAAACCAAAAACACUGUUUCCUGUGUUAAAAUCACAUUUGUUGAGCUACUGUAGAGUAAACGGUUGAUUUGCUGAAGGUGUAAAGACGCUAGACAGUAAUGUUACAGUAUAUUUGUGAUUUUGCUGUAAAAACACGUCUCAUGUUUAGCGAACAGCGGAGCUGCAGUAAACACAUGCACGUCUCCAGAGUGCAUUUACAUAAACCAUAUUCAUCUUAAAGACGAUUACUAAAUGUCUAUUUAAUAUGAGACAGGAAAACUUACUAAAAGAAUUACAGAUGAGCACAUCACAACAUGAACACACAUCUGAGUGAGUGAUGUAUGUGUUAUGUAGAAAUCAACACUGCUUUACAUGAAUGUAAUGUAAAUAUACAAAUCUACGUGGAGUAACUAAACAUAACUUAUCUAUUUCAUUUGCCCAUUAGUAUUGUAGAUAAACUGAGGAACAUUUGUGUUGAAUAAAAAGUGAGUUAACGCAUCAGCAACUACAGAUAAAUCACAGCUGACUGACUCUUGCCUGAUGUUACAGAGACACACGAGUGUUUAUCCGCUGAAGAGUGACCGAUGGAGGAAUGCUGCCAUCAAAAGCUUUGAGUUUGAUGCAGAGCUUUUGUGGAGGAGCAGGUGAUGGCGGCAUUUGUGGGGAAAAAACUGAAAACCUGAAACAAAAUAUAAAGAUCUGAAAUGUCUACAGACUGCUGUGAGCAGUGAUCCUGGAAAUGAUCCAGUGCCAUGAAUGAGUCGCUCCAUCACUGCACCUGCCCUUACUGCCUCAUCUGGACCGGAUGCUGCUGUGGUCUCUUCAUCCUCACUGACCCCAGAGCCAGCGAGAGCAUCUAGAAAAAGACCAAACGAAAUGGAGGAUGUGAUUUUGUUCAAGUUUGUUCUGCUGGUUUCUGUU